rnacentral:ribozyme from 14 species
AAUAAGAUCAUAAGUUUUUUUUUUUUUUUUUUUUUUUUU